AGGCACACCUUGCUUGGCAGGUUGGUAUUCCAGCAUGUCGGGCUUGCCAAGGAAUAAGGACAUUGAUGGCGUUUUCUCUUCUAGAGGACUACAAAGCCCCUUCCAGCAUGAUGAAAGCUUCUUGUAUCAGGUAUAUGUGUGCCUGGUGCCUACAGAGUCCAGAAGAGGACUGGAAUUGGAGUUGAAAAUGGUAUGAGUCUCCAUAUGAGUGCUAGGACCUGAACCUGCAUCCUCAGCAAGAACAAGUGCUCUCGACUGCUGAGCCAUCUAUAGCUCCUCUUGUAUCUUUUAGACUUAUUAAUGAAGGGAUGUUGAAGUUUAUCAAAUACCCUUUUCUGUAUCUUUCAAGAUGAUGAUGAUGAAUCAAACUCAUGUUUUGAGGCUUGCAACCUUAACUGUUUCUUUUGAAAUCAACUAAUAAAGAAAGGAUUAAAUAAAUCACCAAGCAUCCAUGCCAUGAAAAACUGGAUUUUUGAAAGAAUGAAGCAACUCCAUGUGUGCUGACUUGGAAUGUCCACUAACCUGCAGCUGGAAACAGCAGCAGUCAUCCAGACUGUGAAGCACGGGGUAGUACCAUCGUCUACAGAAGGUUGGGAAGAGUAGGGCGAUAUAUCUGAAUCCUGUCCACCUACAGUUUAUUUGUGUGUGAGAUGUAAUAGAUUGUCGCUGGGGCUGCUGAAGUACUCAGAAAGUACUACAGACUAGGUGAUUUACUGACAGAAGUAGUUCUCAUCCAAGAUCAUGGUGUCCCAAGGGACUUUUUUUUUUCUUCUGAAUUCUUUCUCCUUUUGGUUUAUAGAUGGUUGUCUUCCCCAGUGUCUUCAUGAGGUCUUCCAUUCGUGUCCUAAUUGCAAAAGGAUAACGCAUGGCUGAGGGCCUGUCUCAGUGAUGGCUCUUCACCAAAUCUCUUCCUUAAAGAAAUUAUUUUCAGAUGUAUGGUAUUCCCAUUCUGAAGUGUAGCUUUCAGUGAAUGAGUUUGAACUUGUUAGUUCAAAACAAGAAAGGAUUCCUCUCUGUGCCUCAGAGAGGUUGAAUAACCAACUAUGACCAUGAUGUACCUGGGGGAGGGGAGCUGCUGAGUCAGCAAACAGGAGGAAAGAAACCAUGUCUACCUUUCCAAAGUUUAUAACCUAUAUAUGUGACACAGAUUUUUGAAACUUAGUCAGUGUAACAGGCCCCAGACCUUAGUAGCCACCUUAGUUAUACUAAAGUAUACUUAGUACCUUAGUAUAACUUAGCACACUGUCCCCAUGAUGAAGUACCAUUUAGGCCAUAAAAUUAAACACAUAGACAGCACCACCAGCCAAAAUGAAACCAAAGACCUAACCCAUCAAAGUCUGUAGUUCUGGGAAAAUCUCUAAAAGUACUAAUUUUGCUUUUUGA
rnacentral:lncRNA from 1 species